AACUGUCCAAUUUUUCCCGCUCAGAUCAACAUUACAGAAGAACCGAGAAAACUGAAGAGAUUCAGAAUUCGGAUAGGGCAUAGCGAUGGCGAUUCCGGCAUGAUCUUGGGAAUACCCUAGGAACACCGCCGCCGCAGAGUUAUAAUCUAUUCACCUGCUACAGCAACUCAACAAGGUUCUGGGAAAGUUGGGAAGUGGAAAGUAAAUUUUCUGUCUACACAAAACCGUAAAUCAUAUGCAGACAGAUAACUUCGAAUGGAGGGGGCCUGCAGAGUCCUAGGAAUUUUAACAUCGUCCAGCUGCUAGCCGCUUUAAUUGCCCACGUAGUGAGAUGUUGCACGU